rnacentral:rRNA from 1 species
UACACGCUGUGACUAGCAUAUCAAUAAGCGGAGGAAAAGAAACUAACAAGGAUUCCCCUAGUAACGGCGAGUGAAGCGGGAAGAGCUCAAAUUUGAAAUCUUAAAGGGUUUCCCUUUACGAAUUGUAGUUUAAAGAAGUGUUUUCUGUUGAGGUUUUGGUAAAAGUUCUUUGGAAUAGGACAUCAUAGAGGGUGAGAAUCCCGUAUUUGACCUUUACUUUCAACUUUGUGAUACACUUUCAAAGAGUCGGAUUGUUUGGGAAUGCAGUCCAAAAUGGGUGGUAAAUUUCAUCUAAAGCUAAAUAUUGGCGAGAGACCGAUAGCGAACAAGUACCGUGAGGGAAAGAUGAAAAGAACUUUGAAAAGAGAGUUAAACAGUACGUGAAAUUGUCAAAAGGGAAGCGUUUGACACCAGUGUUGUUUCUCUGAAAAUCAAUUAAAGAACUGUUUAUGCUAAGUUGUUUAGACUUUAUCAGCUAACUGUUUAGUUUUGAGCCUUUCUUUAAUGCACUUUUCAGUUAACAAGUCAACAUCAAUUUCUUUUGCUGUAAAGAAGCUUGAGGAAGGUGGCUUGAGAUUCGUCUUAAGUGUUUAUAGCCUCUUGCCUAUGCAGUCGGAGAGAUUGAGGUCUGCAGCGUAGAUCCUUCGGGGCUAAAUGCAUUUGUGCUAAGUUAUAGCAUUUUAUAGACAACUUGUUGACUAUGAUUUGUCUUGUAGCUUACUCGCUUAUGUUAUUUUACCUACGCUUAGGAUGUUGAAGAUGUAGCACAUCAU